rnacentral:sRNA from 1 species
AUGUGUUAAGGAUAGUAGUGACAUCCUUUUUAGGCAUCGACUAAAAAGAUAUAGCGGAUAGCCUGACCCGAU